CUCUUUCAAUCGGAGAUGCUGCACCAGCACAGACAACAGUGCAAUCGUCGCUUCAGGUGGGACCAACACGGGGACCGACCCGUGUGCUUCUACAGACGGCGCGAGCGUACGCGGAAGGCCAG
rnacentral:lncRNA from 1 species